rnacentral:lncRNA from 1 species
AAUCUUUAAACAUUUUCUUAUAUAUUUAUCAUAGGAGUAGCCUUUAUUUUUAUUUAGAAAAUUCAUCAUCUUUAUUUUAUUCUAUUGAAAUGAUUUAAAACUGCUGUUGAUUAAACUUGAUGUAAAUAAACAAUAUACAAUUGCCUUUAAGAUAAUGAACAUUACAAAAAAAACUUUCAAUUUAUUGAUUUACAACCAAGAUCUGUGAAUUCAUUUGUUAAUUUGAAACUUUGUCAUAUGUAAGCAUCAAUAACUGUGAUAGUAAUGAACUUCUUCAAUAUAUAUAUUUUUUUAAUUUAACAAAAGAAGUUUUAACUCUUUUGUAUGAAAAUAUUGUAAUUUAUUUUAAGAGCUUCACACUGAUAUUGUGAAAUCUUGGACUAGCCAAAAACUCUUUAUCCAUAAUUUUUCAAAUAUGUUUUCUGAAAAUCUAGACAUGUGUAUAUUAAGUAUAUUGUAUUGUUUUAUUUUAUCAUUGUAGCAUGUAGAUCCUGCUUGUGAAGUAGAUAAUUCUCACAAUCUGUGCACAAUUUAAGAUUAUUGUACAACAUGUAUUUAGUUUAGACUGAAACUCAAAGAAGUUAUUUAUUCAUUUAUUAUAGUUUCAAAAAUACUGCCAUUCAUGGCAUAAUAGAAACAUUUAAAUCAGUCUGACUUUGUGUAAAGAGGGGGCAUUAUUUGUAGAUUAAUGUUUUGUAGUUAAGAACAAAGAUUUAUAGUUUAUGUUGUUAAAAGAAAACUUAUGUAUGAAAAUUAUUGAAUUUUGGUGGUGCAUCUUUCCCCAACAUUUGAUAUAAAUUAAUAUGGUAAUUAGAUAUAAAAAUGCCAAACACUUUGUAUACUGAAUUUCAAAAACAAAUUAAACAAAAAUUUAUAAAUACAUGCUUAGGGUGAGUUAUUUUGUUUAUUUUUUGUCCAAUGAAAGUUAAUAUCUUCUAGCUAUAUAUACAUAUUAUGGAUCAAGGGUCUGGAAACUGUCAUAUUUAUCAGUCAUGUCCUAAACUGAAAGUAUUUGUCCUUAACGUGGAAUUGGGAUUUAGGACAAAUUAGGUGAAAAAAAUUCCAGAUCCUUGUUAUGAAUGAAACAUUCAAAACUAGAAUGAAAUAAACACACAAAAAAGUUGUUGACAAUUUUGUUCAAGUUUGUAGAAGCAUUCUCUGAGGCAGAUUUAGGGGUGUCUGCCACCUUUCAAGAUCGGAUUCUAAGCAUAACCACACACACAAAAAUAGAUUUGGACAACAGAAUACUACAAAAAAUUUAUCUUAGUCAUGUUUGUCAUCUAUACAUAUCAUUUCUAUAGCAUUUUUAUUGUUGAAUACAUAAUCAGUUACUCAGGAUCAACAGAUCAAAAGCUUUAAUUCAUAACAAUAUUUUCACCAUUGGCAUUAUACAACAAAUAAUUAUACAGGAAUCAAUCAAAAAGAACUGGUCAGUGCAUUCACAACUUUUUGUAUAAACAUGUUUAUCUUUUAUAAUGUGUUUUUUUAACUCAUGCAUUAUCCAAAAGCAAUAUAUUCAUUUUUCUAGAGGAUAACUGAUAUUUUGGUAGUUAGUUGUAGAUACCAGAAAAUAAGUGCAGACAUACAAACAUCUCAACCGUUCAGGGUUCAACCUCUGCGGUCGUAUAAAGCUACGCCCUGCGGAGCAUCUGGUUUAAUACUGAAACCAAAUUAAUCUUAUUAAGGUUAAAUGUUUAAUUCAGCUAACUUUUUCAAUCCCCUCAAGUGUGUGAUGUCUUUUCCUUAGAAAUUUAAUGCAUGAAUUAUCUUUUUUGGGUUAAGGCUGUUGCUUUUAUUUUGACUAAGUAUUCUAAUUAUGCUAUAAUAUGUUAUGAUAGUUGACAUUUUUGCAUUGGAUCUGUAAUUUUAUAGUAUCAUAAUCAUUUGGCAAUAAAAGUUAAAAGGAAUUAUAAUGAUUAAAGUAAUGUUUUUGGUGCAAUGUUCAAGACCAAACUUGGGUCUUUUCAAACAUCCACUGUGUUUAAUAAAACUUUGUUUUGGAUGUGUCUGUAUUGUUCUAUGUCGCUGAAGCUACAAAUAUUUGCAAUGAAUCAUGAUGCUUAAAUACCUAUAACCAGUAUUUAUUUUAUAGUUUUAUUUUUGACCAUUAUAUGAAUGUUUAGUAAUCAAGCUGAUUGGUCAAGCUUGUUUUUCAUUGCCAAUGUCUCUUAUGAAUUAGAUCUGUUUCUAUACUAACUUGUUACUAUAUGUUGAUGUAUAGUUUUAAUUCCAGGAAAUCCCCAUGCUACAGGUUUGAGAAAACUGUUUAUUGCAUGUAAAGGUUUAAAAAAAUAUUGAACUACUGUCAAUUGUACAAUAUAAAAACUAAGAAAAUUGCACCUUCACCUUUUAUUGAUGGAGCAAAGAUUUCAAAUAAACAAUGAAAUAUCAAAGGGCAAUGAUAUACUUUGACCUGACUUUAGUAUAGUCUUAUGUAGAAUCUAAGAAAGGGAUGAAAAUGGAUUUAUAAUGAAAACCAAUACCAGUUUGCAUGCUUGAUAUUUAGAAAAGGGAGACAAAUAGUCAUAAUAGUUUGGCCAGUAAGUGCUCAUUAUAUCAUAAUGUUUGACACAAAUGAACCUGGAGUUUGGUAGAAUUAUAUAAAUAUGUUUUUACAUGUAGUAAUUUCAACCUGACUCAAAUUAUAUUGGACAUGUAAUUUUAUUUUUAAAAAGGAUAUAGAUAUGAUUUAUUUUUAAGACUUUGGGUAUAUACACACAACCAUAGCAUAUAAUUAUAAUGGGAAGAGCAAAGUGCUCUAAAACAUGAUUAAAAUAGGUUAUUGUUUACAAAGCUGUACUAAACUGAUACAGGGUGCUAUACCUGACAGGGUUUGUCACUCAUUAUAUUCAAAUGUGAUAAUAAAAUUUGUUUUUUCAGAGAUUAUCUUUAAAUUAAGCAUUUUUACAGAUGUAUACAGUUACAAAUUAUAGUUUUAUUUAUAAAAACCAUACAUCAAAUUUUCAAAUUUGGAAAUUUAUUUUCAUGGUCUGACAUUUAAUCUUUUUAAACCAACUGACCAAAAAAAAUCAGUUGUAAAUUUUUGUUGGUAGCCCGAUCAAUACCAACUAUGAUCAUUUGAGAGAAAAUUACAUUUAUAAACAUUCCCUAAAAUGGGGCAAUUUUAUUUUUUUAACAAGGAAAGAAUAUGUUUAAUUUACAAUUUAUUAUGUUUUAAUGAUUUUGUUUUUUAAUUCGAUUUUGUAUUUAAAAAUGUACUAACUAUUCAGAUAAUUGAUUAUGAAUAAAAUGCUGGACCAUUGAAUAUCAUUUCUUGUUCUAAUUGUACAUUUCAAUUUAAAAAUAUUAUUGAUGAGUGACAUUUUAUUCUGCCAAAACAAGACAUUAGUGGUCUGAUUUAUCUUACAGCGGUACUUAAUAAUUUGGAGCUUUUUUUAUUUUUAAGUUAUGGCAUCAAAUUUGGGAGCUCUUUCAAAAACAUUUAUGCUCUCAAUUAUAUAUGUGAAGUUAUAUUUUUCAUAAUUAUGAAGUAGGUUAUAUAAAAAUGAUUUUAAAAUUUAAAAUUUCUUUUUAAAUAUUAUUGCCUUACUGAAGAAAAAAAUAUAUAUAUAUAUAUUUAUAUACCAGGGGUAUUUAAUAAAGUUAACCAAAAAAGCUGUCAAGUUUAUAGUUUAUUUUACUCUUAAGUGUAUCUUUUCUGGUCUAACCUUUAACUAUGAAAUUUGACUGGAAUAAUUGUUAGGUGUACAUGUCCAUCUGUGAAAGGUAAGAUUUUCUUGGUUCCUCUAUUAUUUUCAUAUUUUUGAAGAUUUGAUUUUGAUUUUUUGUGUUUCAACGCCACUUUUAAGCACCGCUUUUGGGGCUUUUUCGUUGCGGCCAGUUUUUAUUGGUGGAGGAAGUUGGUGUGCCUAGUGAAAACCACCGACCUUGGAUAGGAAAGGUUAGUUUAUGACUUUGUGAGACAUACAUAUGCAAAUAUGGCUGCAGAGACGGCAUGAAUUAUUUUUAUGAAGCUUUAUAUUUUACAAGUAGAAGACCUGAAUGCUUACUAUUAAGGUAUCCAGAUGCCUUAUGUUGAAGUUUCUUUUCUGUCAUAUAUCCAUUUGUCAAAUUCAAUAUUUUGGUUCAGCAACUGCUUCAAAAAGCUGAUCAGUUUUAUUAUGCCCCACCUACGAUAGUAGAGGGGCAUUAUGUUUUCUGGUCUGUGGCUCUGUUCGUUCCUUCUGUUAGUUCAUUUGUUCGUCCGUGCGUCCAUUCGCCCUGCUUCAGGUUAAAGUUUUUGGUCAAGGUAGUUUUUGAUGAAGCUAAAGUCCAAUCAACUUGAAACUUAGUCUAAUGUUCCCUAUAAUAUAAUCUUUCUAAUUUUAAUGCCAAAUUAAAUUUUUACCCAAUUUCACAGUCCAUGGAACAUGGAAAAUGAUAGUGCGAGUGGGGCAUCCGUGUACUUGGACACAUUCUUGUUUUUCUUCAUGUGAAUUCCUCUCUGUAAUGAGCAAUAGGGUCUCAAUAUUUGGCAAAAAGGAUCCUUAUAAGGUCUACUUGUCCAUUAUACAAGGUUCACUCGACUUCAACCUCAUUAAAUAGAUCAAUACUCAAGGUUAUUAUAAACAAUAGGUGUAUGGAAUGAUUGUGAAGUUUACAUGUUUGAACUGAAAAUUUCAUGGCCUCUAUUACAUGAUUUAGCAGUCAAUGUUUUUGUGGUAAGGUCUUUUUCAUAGAUACUUUAACACUUAUAAGCAAUAGCUCAACACUAUUUGGUGAAUGACCUUGACCUUUUUUCUUCGUUUAUUGUCAACGUUAAGCUUUGUAAUUAGAAUGGUUUCCCGUCUCAGAUACUAUCAACAAUAGGUUUAAUAUAUUUGGUGUCUGGUGGGAUUGAAAGGUGUACAUAUCUGUCUGACCUUGACUUUAUUUACAUGGAUCAUUGAUAAUGUUAAAUUUAUGUGAUACUAGUAGUAAAACUUUCAAAUUAAAGACUUUCAACUUUACAUCGAUAUGCGAGACAGUUUAUCUGCAAUUUGCUUAAAAUAAUAAUUUUAGAUCAAGUGUACAGACCUUAUCUCAUGGUUGAAUUAGCAUGGACCUCAUCUUCAUGGUUAAGUGAUUCACACUCAAUUGUCCAUAACAAUGUGCUGCAAUUCUGAAAAGUGCUCCGUGUACAAAACUAGGUAAAGGUUAGACUAGGAAGUUAUAUCAGGUGUACAUCCAUACAUGUUAUAUCUGUGAUAUCAUUAUUUAUCAUUGACCAAACUAUAACAUAGGACAGUUAAUAGAAUUAUGGUCAACUGUGGGAUCUUUUUUUUUGUUUGCAAGUCCAUGUAUAUUGUUUUGUAACUUUUACAGGAUAUUAAAUUACUAAGUUGUCUGAGUAAUAUGACCUUUGAUCCUUAUUUAUGUUGUAAUAAUCAUAUUGUAUCUUUAUUAUUAGGAGGCUUGCCUCUAGCUUGUUUUGUUGAUUUUUGCUUUAAAGAAUCUUAAUAAAGUCUCUACUAUUUUAAAAAUAUUGGGUUGUGUUAUUCAACUAUUGUUAUCUCGUUAUUUCAGGACUGAAUUUAAUACUUUGUGACAUGAAAAAAACAGGCAAAUUUAUUGUUUACCUGCAAAAUAUUAGAAAUGCCAUAUUGAAAAGUGAUGCUAAUGGGAAAGUGGGUCUAGUAACCGCUCUUCUCUGUUUCGUU